GACGGGGCCCGCACAAGCGGUGGAGCAUGUGGUUUAAUUCGAUGCAACGCGAAGACCUUACCUGGUCUUGACAUCCACGGAAGUUUUCAGAGAUGAGAAUGUGCCUUCGGGAACCGUGAGACAGGUGCUGCAUGGCUGUCGUCAGCUCGUGUUGUGAAAUGUUGGGUUAAGUCCCGCAACGAGCGCAACCCUUAUCCUUUGUUGCCAGCGGUCCGGCCGGGAACUCAAAGGAGACUGCCAGUGAUAAACUGGAGGAAGGUGGGAUGACGUCAAGUCAUCAUGGCCCUUACGACCAGGGCUACACACGUGCUACAAUGGCGCAUACAAAGAGAAGCGACCUCGCGAGAGCAAGCGGACCUCAUAAAGUGCGUCGUAGUCCGGAUUGGGGUCUGCAACUCGACUCCAUGAAGUCGGAAUCGCUAGUAAUCGUGGAUCAGAAUGCCACGGUGAAUACGUUCCCGGGCCUU
rnacentral:rRNA from 1 species